GCUUUAGCUCGAAGCGGGUCUUUCAAACUUUCCCGCCCAACUCGUCGAUCUCCUCGCGCCAUCUUUGGGGAUUUCGGAAGUUACCCCCCCUUCAAUCUCCUCACUCGCCGCGAACGUAUCACGGAUCCUUCGUUGCCGAAGAAGGAUCCGCUCCAUCGGCCGGGACGCACGACGACUUUUUCUCCGCUCCGCGGCCUAUUUCCUGGGAAAUUAUUCAACCACCUAAGGACACUUCGUAGCGGACGAGCGAGUUUCCGUUCCCGUUCCCGUUCGCCAUCAAUCGGUCACGUCGAGAUCCGCCAUCUUGACUCGCCGUCUCGCUCGAGCCCGAAACCUCGUAUUCCACCGAAAAUAGAGAGGAAAGAGAAGAGGAUUAUCUCCGAACGGCAAGAUGUCUCGUCCUCGACUCGGAUUCGCACGAUUCGGAUCUUAUUCCGCGCUCGAAGACCCGCGAGCGAUUUCUUUCGCGAGGAAAGAUCCUGGAACCCCCUGAGUGCUCCGGCACUCGGCGAACGAGGUCCAGUCUCGAUGAUCGCCGGAGAUCGAUGAACGAUCGUCCAGGAUCGGACGGAUGGAAACGGCCGGCUGUAUCUCGGGCGGGCCAUCGGAGCGGCAUUUAGGGAGGUGGAUGCGGUUCCGAGUUCCGCCGGGGAGGAAGCUGUCCGUAGGCGUUUCGGACGAUUCCGGACCGGUUCCGCUCCAAGGAGGUCCGAGGCCCAACGAAUAGGAAGCAAGGUUCAGCGGAAUUCCCCCUUGGGAAGGGCAUGGAAGUUCUUUUUAGGCUUUCCCUUGAAGCCGACCAGCGUCCAAUCGCAUUUCGUAGGGAACGGGCAUUCGCCCCGACUAGCCGGGGAUCGCGGAAUCAGCGACUCUCGUCCUCGUUUUAUCCAAUUUUACGUCCUCGUCGUGGUUUUAACUUGUCAACGUCGUUUUUUUACCCGUCAUCUUUUUAACCUGGUUAAUGAUUUUAGAGUCACUUUGGGUGGAUUCCGCGAUCCUGGGGCGAAUUUCUUGCGUUCCCGGGAUUUUCGAUAACGGACGUUGGAUAAGGCAAAUCAUUGGGGAGCACGUUGCAGGAAAUCAGUUAUGAACCCUGAGAGUCCACCGAUUUUCCGAUUGAACUGCUUUCGUUGAUUUGCGCAGAGAAUCUCUUGCUCGAGGGUCGUUUAGUACGGUGGAAAAUCGUUUUAAUGUGAUUUGAACCGAAUUUCUGGUUCUAGGUGAUGUACGGUACAACUAGGAAGGAAUACGAUGCUUCAGGAAUUAAUUAAUCGAGCCACUUAUUAAUGUUUGGGGAAAUAGUAUAAAUAACGAUAGCUGACAUUCAUGAUUUUUUGUGUUUUGCCGAUUAAGGCUUAUAAUUACCGGCGAUGGCGAACUUCUUGAGCUCCCAGGCCAUGGUUUCUAUUUGCGAAUUUGUGAGGCAAUUUUAGGGUGCUUUUCUCAGGAUGAAAAAUGGGAUUCGCGACGGAAUCGCCAAUCGUUCGAUGCCUGGUGCUAUGUUUGCUGUAUUGAUCCCUUUUCCCUUCGAGUUUUUCUUCUUCCUUUUUUUUUGGAAAUGCAUGUACGAACUUUUGUCGACGAACAGAUUUAGUCAUGUGCCGAUUUUUCGUUCUUUCCGGUCUCAGACUUCGAACGACCCGAUCGAUUCGACGAUUUCGACCGUUCCGGCGAUUUUGCAACUUAGCGAUUUUUUCCGUUUCAUCUUCGCGCUGAAAUUAUUCGCAAAAAAUGACGAAUCGGAUCGCUCUCUGAAUGGACCGCGGGGAGAAUUGGUGGGCCCGGAUAAAAUCGUGAGUCGCUGGGACAAAUUCGAAGGAAGUUCGCGAAUUGGCGCGACUCGGCUCCAUUUUUUAAAUCGCUGGUUAAAAAAUAAAGUCGGCCGCGCGGAUUUCGUGGAUUGGCGUUCCGCAGGGAUUCGUUCGACGUCGAGCACCACUUGAAGAAGAAUGGCGCAUACGAAUUCGGAUUUUCGCCAGACGAAGCUCGGUACGAUGUUAUUUCUUAAAAUAGAAAGAAAAAGAAAGGAAAAACUCGGAAAAAGUCCCCUUGUCAUAUUCGACUCGGCCCGGAGGACCUCGGCGAAUUCGGCGAUUAAUUUCCGUCGCUCGCUUGGUCCGAAUUAUGCCGAGCGAUCGGCAGAAAAUUCAUCAAGCGAACCGGCGCAAAAAGUCGCCGAGCGAAGAAAAGCAAACCUUUCGCAAAAACCAAGCCCCAUUAUAAUUAGUACAUGCUCCAGAAAAUAAUUCAUAUCUACAGUUUGGUCUCGAGAGACUCGUUCAUUCGAGCCCCUCGUCGGAUAUCGAGGAAAAUAAAUACAAGCUGCCCGGAAUUUUGCACAGCCAGGAAUUUCGCGAUGUUUCUUGCUUAAUAAAUAUUAUUAAACGAGAAAUGUCAUUUCAACGGAGAGUUUGCUCGUUCGCAACAGUUGAAGCAACCGUUGCGAAGACUCUUUCCAGGUAAUAAGAAAUGGUACGACGGUUCCUCGGUUGCUUGUGGGAAAUUCUCGAUCAGCUGGAUUUUACUUUUUCUUCGAUAUUCACUUACAAGCUGUAUUAAAGUGGUAAUUGAAAAACUCGGGAGCACCUUGCUCGAUGUAUCGAACCAUUUGUUACGAAUUAGUAGGAAUUGUUUUUACGUCAAAUAAUGCAAUCUCGAAGCAAGGCUCCAUAUUUCCUGGCGGGAAAAAGUUAUCUCGAUGAAAUAGUCGAUCUGUACCGAAUCCGGCGACGGCGGACGUGAAUCAAACUUGUGUGGCCGAGUACAUACAUCUCGGUACGUAACCGCAGCGAAUUGAACGUGGCUCGCUGAUUAACCAUAGUUAGGUCGACGCGAAAAUGCGAGAAUGGCUGGAACGUGUCGCCAUUGGAAGCCGAGCCGAAUGGGAGAUUUCGGUGUUCUGGGUAGCGAGUACAUUUUUCCCCUUUUACCAAUUUAAUUUCGUGAAGAGAGCAUCGCGUCGUGUGCCCUUAUUCCCGAUAUUUUACCGGUACUAUUUAUCCCGACUAAAGUAAGUCUUAGAAUGUCGUCUCAAUUUUAAGGCAAAUCGAUGUCGGUUUUAAUAUCGGACUUUUAUCGCCAACUCUGCCCGAGGAAUCUCCUCUUCGGCUCGAUUUCCAUAACCUGCAGGUCCAGCCAUUUUUUCUUCAAUUUCGUUCGACUUUAAUCGCAACUAUCAAUCCUGACUGAAAGUACGGAAAUUCUCCUCUUUCUUAAUUUUUUCCUUUGCGCCAUCGAAUUGUCCUUUCUGAGUGCCGACGGCGGAAUUUAGGAAAUUUUCAUAUCUACUGUCGGAUGGAUUUGAGUCUCAACUUUCCGAGCUGGAGGAAAAAUUGUCAAACUCGUCGCUGUGACAAACCGAGCGAUCGUCGUGCGUCUCGGCUGUAGGGCGAUCCUGACCUACAUUAAGUUUGUGUAUCCAUUAUUAUUUGUGUCUAGAUAGUUCAUAUAAAUGAGUAAAUCGUGUGUUUCUACGUGUAUGUAGUCGAUAAGCAAUAUUUGUCCAAAGGAGGAAGGAUCCGAUCUGUGGCGUAAAGUUCGUGUCGAUUAGUGUCGUAUUUGUAUUAUUACCGAUCGAUAUUAUUUGCGAGUAUCUUAGAAGCCUUAAGUACCUUUUUUGCUCCUCUAUGGACUUAACGGUAGACUUAGGAAUUUCGAUCGAGGGUAAUCCCGAUUAUCUCUUAUUAUUUCGAUACUAAACGCGGCGAUUUAAUUCGUCUUCGUAGUUACAUUAAAUACUAACAUUUUAUCUCGAUUAUGCUUUUAUUUUAAGGAGGAAGUAAUACUUUAAUCAUCAGACGUUAUCGAUUAAGGAUGUGGUAUAUAGUCAAAUUCAUUUAAGUUAACAUUAUUAUUAUAUUGAUACGGCAAUUGAUUUAAGUUACGUAUUGAGUGUAGCGAGUAAUUCCCAUAUAUGCGAUGUUUUUUUAUUUUGGGAUCACGAGUCUUGUAUUAUUAUGGAGGAGCUGGAAUCUCUACGAUGGCAAUCGCGCGAGACCCUCGUCUCGUGCAUUAGUAGUAAGCUGGAAGACGUUAUGGAAUGUAUCGUAAUAAAGCAAAGAAUAUUGCCAGAA